CGCGGUCGCAGGUGUUCGGACCGCGGGAAACCUAUCAUCGACCGCGGUCGCGUGAAUAUGACCGCGGCCAAGUACUUGUUUGCCGCGGUCGUGUGGCCCCUGACCGCGGCACUUGGUCGUUGACAUCCAAACCCGACCCCAAACCACCCACUUCACCCCAUUUCACCUCACCAAUCACCCUCCACCUCAUUCAUCACCCUCCACCACCUUCAUCACCACCUAUCACCUUCCCAAACCUCUUCGAAUGAAUCCG
rnacentral:lncRNA from 1 species